rnacentral:rRNA from 1 species
AGUGAACGCUGGCGGCAGGCCUAACACAUGCCAGUCGAGCGGCCGCGGGUCCUUCGGGCUGCCGGCGAGCGGCGGACGGGUGAGGAAUACAUCGGAAUCUGCCCUGUCGUGGGGGAUAACCUAGGGAAACUUAGGCUAAUACCGCAUACGACCUACGGGUGAAAGCGGGGGAUCGCAAGACCUCGCGCGACAGGAUGAGCCGAUGUCCGAUUAGCUAGUUGGCGGGGUAAAGGCCCACCAAGGCGACGAUCGGUAGCUGGUCUGAGAGGAUGAUCAGCCACACUGGGACUGAGACACGGCCCAGACUCCUACGGGAGGCAGCAGUGGGGAAUAUUGGACAAUGGGCGCAAGCCUGAUCCAGCCAUGCCGCGUGGGUGAAGAAGGCCUUCGGGUUGUAAAGCCCUUUUGUCCGGGAAGAAAUCGUCUGGGCUAAUACCCCGGGCGGAUGACGGUACCGGAAGAAUAAGCACCGGCUAACUUCGUG